rnacentral:rRNA from 1 species
AUUGAACGCUGGCGGCAGGCCUAACACAUGCAAGUCGAACGAGUGGCGGACGGGCGAGUAAUGCAUGGGAAUCUAGGUUAUGGAGGGGGAUAACUACGGGAAACCGUAGCUAAUACCGCUUAACAUAGGAUGAGGUGAGGUGGGAUUAGGUAGUGGGUGAGGUAAAGGCUCACCAAGCCGACGAUCUAUAGCUGGUCUGAGAGGAUGACCGGCCACACUGGGACUGAGACACGGCCCAUACUCCUACGGGAGGCAGCAGUAGGGAAUAUUGCGCAAUGGAGGCAAGUCUGACCGAGCCAUGCCGCGUGUAUGAAGAAGGCCUUCGGGUUGUAAAGUACUUUCGGUCGGGAGGCGUUACUCGCAGAAAAAGCACCGGCUAACUCCGUGCCAGCAGCCGCGGUAAUUC